rnacentral:sRNA from 1 species
AGCAACAACAAUAAUUCCUGCUCCAAUAGCGUAUAUUAAAGUUGUUGCAGUUAAAAAGCUCGUAGUUGAAUUUCGGGGUUCUACCGUUGGUCGGGCUAUAGUCUGUACUGGCGUGUGGAAUUUCUACCUUCUGGGGAACUAUCAUGUUAUUAAUUUAGCGUGGUAGGAAACCAGAACCUUUACCUUGAAAAAAUUAGAGUGUUCAAAGCAAGGCUUACGUCUGAAUACAUUAGCAUGGAAUAAUAAAAUAGGACGGUGGUCCUGUUUUGUUGGUUUCUGAAUCACCGUAAUGAUUAAUAGGGAUAGUUGGGGGCAUUAGUAUUCAAUUGUCAGAGGUGAAAUUCUUGGAUUUAUUGAAGACUAACUUCUGCGAAAGCAUUUGCCAAGGAUGUUUUCAUUAAUCAAGAACGA